AUUUGUUCCUUCGGGAUGAUGUUCGAAAUCUUUAUCUUCCAUAUCGAGUGAGGAACAAACAAUUCUAUAACAGACUAAUGAUGCUAAAUGUUUACAGACUGUGAUUCUCAUUUUCUGUUCUUCUAAAAAGCUCAGAACAAUUUUUUUACUCGAGUCUUGGUAGUUCUUCGGCCUUUGCUAAUGGACGCUGUUUUUGUAAAUGUACAGUAGUGUGUGUGUAAAGACUGCGAACGUCUGGAGUUUGUGUGUGUCGUUGUCGGAUCUCAUCCGAGCGUUUACGCCGCAGUCGUGAACAGAUGAUAUUGAUAAAUACUUUCACACGUCUACAAUCUUCCACGUUCAUUCUCCAGGAUUCUGCCUGACAAACAUUUUUAUCACAACAUGAUUCUUUGUAAAUGGACAGAUCUUUACAAAUGAUUUUCUAAAACGUCUAAUCCCAAUAAAAUCAAGCCGUAGAAAAAUGCAACUCUUUUUGCUGAUCCUUUUUAUGUGUGUAAGUGUGUGUGUGUGUGUGUGUGUGUGUGUGUAUUAUUGAUCGACUCUGUUCUGAUCACAGCAGUAGUUCUGGCCCGUCAUCUUCAGUGGAAUAAUGUGCUUUGAGUCAGAGGAUUAUUCAGAAACAUGCAUUUAAAAAUACAUCUGGAGUAAAUAUGACAGACUGAAAGAGCUGCUGCUUAAUCAAUGGAUUAAAGUGAGCAUUAAACCUCAGAAUCCGGGGAGAGUUUGUUCACGUCAAGUCAAACCCUAAAAUCACAAGAAAGAAAUAAGUAAUUAUAUUUUGAAUAUUGCCUAUUGUGGCGUUUACUUGCCGAUUUCAACACAUAAACUCUUUAAAUGAAUUUAGUGUGGGAUUUACUUUGAAACUGUUUUCACGCAGAAAUUGCAAGUACAUUUCACAAAUAAUAAUGGUAACACUUUACAAUAAGGUUUCAUUUGUUAACAUGAACUAACAAUGAACAAUUAUUCUACAGUAUUUAUUCAUUUUAGUUCAUUUCUACAUUUACUAUUACACUUUUUAAUUCAUAAGUUAUAUCCGUUAACAUUAGUUAAUGCACUGCGUAAAAACAAUGAACAGUUGUAUUUUUAUGACUUAACAUUGAUAAAUAACAUUUAAUAAAGUUUUUUUAACCAAA